UUCCACUCUUUCUGCUGCUUUUAGAAGGUGACAGAAUGGACACUGAUGUGAGGGGCUACCUCAGGAUCCUGGGAUUUAAACCACAUUCCUGCUAGGACAGAGAAGGGCAAGAGUUUGGUCAGCCCCUGUGCAGGAUGACAGGGUCCUGCUCAACCAGGACAGGUGGAGGAGGAAGGGCAGGCCUGAGCAGGUCUUCACCAACUCAAAUCUGGACCUGGCAUUUGGUUCCUUAACGAGGAGAUCCAGCUGUUGGGGCCACGUUGUUCCUUCUCUCCCGGUGGAGCAUAUGAGGGCUCC